rnacentral:rRNA from 1 species
UACAGAGGGAGCAAGCGUUGUUCGGAAUUACUGGGCGUAAAGGGCGCGUAGGCGGUUCGAUAAGUCCCGUGUGAAAUCCCUCGGCUCAACUGAGGAAUGGCACGGGAAACUGACGGGCUUGAGUUCGGGAGAGGGAAGCGGAAUUCCGGGUGUAGCGGUGAAAUGCGCAGAUAUCAGGAGGAACACCGGUGGCGAAGGCGGGUCUCUGGGCCGAUACUGACGCUGAGGAGCGAAAGCGUGGGGAGCGAACAGG